UACGAAGGGGGCUAGCGUUGUUCGGAAUUACUGGGCGUAAAGGGCGCGUAGGCGGUGUGUCAAGUCAGGCGUGAAAGCCCCGGGCUCAACCUGGGAACAGCGCUUGAGACUGGCACGCUCGAGUUCGGGAGAGGAUGGUGGAAUUCCCAGUGUAGAGGUGAAAUUCGUAGAUAUUGGGAAGAACACCGAUGGCGAAGGCAGCCAUCUGGACCGACACUGACGCUGAGGCACGAAAGCGUGGGGAGCAAACGGG
rnacentral:rRNA from 1 species